rnacentral:rRNA from 1 species
AGGAUGAAGGUUUAAGGAUUGUAAACUCCUUUUGUUAGAGAAGAUAAUGACGGUAUCUAACGAAUAAGCACCGGCUAACUCCGUGCCAGCAGCCGCGGUAAUACGGAGGGUGCAAGCGUUACUCGGAAUCACUGGGCGUAAAGAGCGCGUAGGCGGGAUAGUCAGUCAGGUGUGAAAUCCUAUGGCUUAACCAUAGAACUGCAUUUGAAACUACUAUUCUAGAGUGUGGGAGA